GGAUGAGCCCGCGGCCUAUCAGCUUGUUGGUGGGGUAAUGGCCUACCAAGGCGGCGACGGGUAGCCGGCCUGAGAGGGUGUACGGCCACAUUGGGACUGAGAUACGGCCCAGACUCCUACGGGAGGCAGCAGUGGGGAAUAUUGCACAAUGGGCGCAAGCCUGAUGCAGCGACGCCGCGUGGGGGAUGAAGGCCUUCGGGUUGUAAACUCCUUUCGCUAGGGACGAAGCUUUGUUGUGACGGUACCUAGAUAAGAAGCACCGGCUAACUACGUGCCAGCAGCCGCGGUAAUACGUAGGGUGCGAGCGUUGUCCGGAAUUACUGGGCGUAAAGGGCUCGUAGGUGGUUUGUCGCGUCGUCUGUGAAAUUCUGGGGCUUAACUCCGGGCGUGCAGGCGAUACGGGCAUAACUUGAGUGCUGUAGGGGUAACUGGAAUUCCUGGUGUAGCGGUGAAAUGCGCAGAUAUCAGGAGGAACACCGAUGGCGAAGGCAGGUUACUGGGCAGUUACUGACGCUGAGGAGCGAAAGC
rnacentral:rRNA from 1 species